rnacentral:rRNA from 1 species
AGCAGCCGCGGUAAUUCCAGCUCCAAUAGCGUAUAUUAAAGUUGUUGCAGUUAAAAAGCUCGUAGUUGAAUUUCGGGAUCAAUAUGUCGGUCGUGCCUUCGGUACGUACUGGUAUCAUUGGUCUCUCCUUUCUGACGAACCAUGAUGUCAUUAAUUUGGUGUUAUGGGGAGUUAGGACUGUUACUUUGAAAAAAUUAGAGUGUUUAAAGCAGGCUUUAGCUUGAAUACAUUAGCAUGGAAUAAUGAAAUAGGACGUUCGAACCUAUUUUGUUGGUUUCUAGGAUCAACGUAAUGAUUAAUAGGGAUAGUUGGGGGCAUUAGUAUUCAAUUGUCAGAGGUGAAAUUCUUGGAUUUAUUGAAGACUAACUACUGCGAAAGCAUUUGCCAAGGAUGUUUUCAUUAAUCAAGAACGAAAGUUAGGGGAUCGAAGACGAUCAGAUACCGUCGUAGUCUUAACCAUAAACUAUAGCCGACUAGGGAUCGGAUGAUGUUAAUUUUUAAUG